rnacentral:rRNA from 1 species
AGCGAACGCUGGCAGCAGGCUUAACACAUGCAAGUCGAACGGGCACUUCGGUGUCAGUGGCAGACGGGUGAGUAACGCGUGGGAACAUACCUCUUGGUUCGGAACAACACAGGGAAACUUGUGCUAAUACCGGAUAAGCCCUUACGGGAAGAUUUAUCGCCGAGAGAUUGGCCCGCCGUCUGAUUAGCUAGUUGGUGUGGUAAAAGACGCACC